AAGAGAGCAUGUGUGUGUCUGUGUGUGUGUGUGUGUGUGUGUGUGUGUGCGCGUGUGUAUACACACAUGAAUAUAUAGUUGUGAUUAUAAAAGUGGAAGGAUUUUAGAAAACACUAAUAAGAUUGAGUACCUUUUAAUGAUACUCAGGAGUAUCACAAAGGCAUGAGGAAGGAUCUAUUUGGAAAUACUUGCCAUAGGAAAAACACAAAUUUGUGUUUUGUAGGAUUAAAUUAAGUAUAGAACAUAAUCAUGCAAGGCCUGAAGUAUGCUCAGUUGAGAGUAAAGGCAUAUCUGAAGGAAUAGUGUGUAUUUGGGACUUUGAGGGAAACUUUCUGUAGAUUUGAAGAGAGACCUAAACACAAAGUUAAAGUACAAUGAAUGUAAUAUCAGUGUCAAUCCAUUAUAAAAUCAGGAAAUUGAAGACAAAUCUGUAUACCAUAUUCAAAAAUUUUUCUGUAUUUUUAGAUCUUAGAUGUUAGCAUUAUAUCACACAAAACCAUUGGUGCCUUGUAGAACUGUUACGUUGGCCUGCUGACCUGUGCUACCUCAGAUCUAUAAAGGAACCUGUCUGCAGUAUACCUACCUGCCUCUAUCUGAUUGAGAUUGCAGUUGAAACAAAGGUUACAGAUUAAAAUAAAUGAAGUGUCUUCGUAGGGAUGGGGGAGCAUUGGCCUUGGCAAAAGGUGAGGCCUCAAAGGUCUGUGAAGCCGUGCUGUUGCUCAACCCCAAGAUGACACCAGCUGAAGACACUCUGGUUCCUUGAGAAUCGAAUAUUAAUACAAAAAAGGAAGGUUUCACCUGGGGAGGGACGAGUUCCUUAUCGGGCCACUUCAUUUCACCUACUGAGGUGGGAAUGCUCUCCUUUCCGCCUUUAUCAGCAUGAGAUUUGCAUCGGCACAGGAUCAGACGUGAGACCACCACCACUCAAGUCACCUGAUACCCCCUCCAAUUAUUGUGUCUUCAAUAAAUAGUGGCCAGCUCCAGUCUUGGUCUUUGCCUUCUGGGGGGCACCGACCGCCCUGCGCCCCGCCACUCCCCCUGCCCCUAUACUUUGAAAUGAUGCACGGCUCUACUG